rnacentral:tRNA from 1 species
CGACUGGCGGGCGGGCGCGGCCCUGCUCGCCUACGCCGCGGGAUGGCUGCCGUGGUUCUACUUCGCGCUGGCCGAC